CCACCCCCAGUGCCAAUAUACAAGAAGCCACUACCACCCCCAGUGCCAGUGUACAAGAAGCCGCUUCCCCCACCUGUUCCAGUUUAUAAGAAGCCACUUCCUCCACCUGUUCCAGUUUAUAAGAAGCCACUUCCUCCGCCAGUCCCAGUAUAUAAGAAGCCGUGUCCUCCAGAAAUUCCUAAGAUCCUUCCACCACCAAUACCAAUAUACAAAAAGCCGCUUCCACCUUUUGUUCCAAUCUACAAGCCAAUUCCACCUAUCUCCAAACCUCUUCCUCCAUUUCCUCCAAUUUAUAAGAAGCCAUGGCCACCCAUUCCUCAAGUCCCUCUUCCUAAAUUUCCUCCUGUCCACAAGUUUCCUCCAAAGUACUUCCACCACCCCAAGUUUGGAUUUGGUUCUCCUGUACCACCUUAUUCUUCUCAUCCAUAGGUUAUCCUAGUUUACUUUUCAUGAUCAUUGUUUCAUAAGGAAGAGGUUGGCAUGCAUUGUUGGUACUAGAAUAAGUUAAGCCUCCAUGGUAGAGAGUACUUGAGAGUGGGAGAAAGACAAAACCUGAAUCGUUGUUAAUUAUUUCCAGUAAUGAAAUGAAUAUGUAUGUGUGGAUUGUUCUUAUUAUCACAUUAUGGCCUCUGAACCUUGUAAAUGUUCUAUGGUCUGUGAAUGCAUCUAUGGAAUAUUAAUAUGUUCACUUAAAUGAAAACAAUAGUAUUUUCACUUUCAUUUCAUCUGAAAAUUUCACUUUAAAAAAUGCAUUACCACUUUGUUUUGAUCUCCAUAUUCAUGAAUGUAUUCUGCAGAAAUCGUAAUUUUCUUAUUGAUUUACAAGACUCUCAAGAAUAUUCACAAGAAGAGAAUAAUAAUAUAAAAGAGCUUUGAUAGACUGAAGGUUAUCCUUGGGCACCUGAUAAACCAAUUCAUCAACCUGCCAUUUUUCCAUUUACCAAAGAAGCUAGUCAGAAUACAGAGGUUGUUUUGUCUAGUAAGGUAAGCAAACUCUCACCACGACCGACUAACAACGGGCAACCCAGUUAUGAUAUUAGCAUCUUGGGAUUUUUUCUCUACAAGGCCCUUAAUUGGGUUCAUAUAUGGACCCCAGAAUGUUUGUACUCAUUAAGCUUUUCUUUUAUUGAAAAAAAUCACAAUUAGAUCUCAUGUUGUGAAUUAAAAAUGGCAGGUUGACAAUUAAAUGUGGUGAUAAUCCUUGUUUUCUUUUGCCUGUUCAUUAAUUGCUCUGUUAAAAUUGCAGAAUGAUUUGAAAUACCCAUUAGAUUGCCCUGGUGAUACUUUUAUUAGUUGCACCAAAUCUGAAACCGAAUACUGAGCAAACCCUUAUGGAAAAAUUAAUAAGCAGUCCAACCUAAGUGUAGGCUUCUCAGGGGAAAGCUCAACUUACCUUGGAUACAAUAACAGAAAGAAUAGAACAAAUUCGUCCUUACAACACAUGAAAGAGAGUGACCAAAAGAGUGUCCUCCCACCAGAAUGGCUGGUGAAACAUUAUGACAACAACAGAAAUUUUACAUGUUCACAACAUAGCUGUGUGGUUCAUAUAGCAGCAUUUGUUAGGCAAAUUAAUUAUGUGUUCAUGGAACAAGCAACAUGAGAUCUGUCAAGGAACAAUGGUAACAAAAAUCAACAGUAAAGUACAGUCCAGAGUUUUACCAAAAGCAUAAGCAUUUCAGCAAUUCAGCUUUCUAUAAAAGCAAAAUUUAAAGUAUGCUGGUAAGUAGGUUUACAGAUAAUAUAAACUGCAGAUGUGCAGUGGAGAGCUGAUUCAAAGAAGUGAAUGGCCUUAAAUUGAUUAAAAAAAACUGGUGAGGCUGUUACUGUUUUUCUCUCCCCUAUUACACAAAUCAUAAUAAAGGGUAUCUAACCUCAUGUAUGGCCCUAAAGCAUGGUGUUGGUGAGCCCAUUAAAUCGAUUCCUCAAGAUCAUUAUACAACAAGGUCUUUAAAUCUCAAGGGCCUAAGUCAAUGAAGCUUAACAUCAACCUAUAGAAGCUCAUGGCUUCUUCAUUUCAUUGUCUUUUCAAUUUUUUUGUUUGUCAUUAUAAUAGGGGAUCAUAAGGGGGCUAGGAUUCCCAAUAUGGACACAACCUAUAUGUGAAAGGGGCACUUCUCGGCCUCUGGGUGGCACUGCUAUUUUCUGUGAGCUUCUGCCAUUGCAAUGUGCAGAUUGUGCAGAGAGUAAUAUUAACACCAGCCAAGCCUUAUCAGGUAUGUUAUUUUCAAGCUACCAUAUACAGAUUUGUCUUGUCCUGUGAUGGGCACAUGGUCAAUUUUAAGUGUCUAGGGUUGUCCUUGCCAUAUGCUGCAAUGCUAUGCCAUGUUUUCCUGCAUACAAUUCUUUCAAGACUUCCAAAUAUCAUUUCCUUGGGCAUAGUUGAUCCAUGGGCCUGUCUUUAAGAUUCCUAACGCAGAUAUGAAGGCCUUGUGGUCUUUUAUGUUCCAAGGAUGUGACAAUGACAAUGGCAAUAUACUGUAUUUAUAUUCAUGAUCCAAAUGCUCUACAAGUCCCAUUAUCCUUCCUCUGUCAAUUUCAGCAGUUUUUGUAUGAAAAUAGGAUGGUUGAAAGUAAGAAAUUCACCGCUCCAAACCUGCUCCUCAAGCCAGUGAAUGUUUGACAUUGAAAGCUGUUGUUAACAUCUAAGGCUGCAAUGCCCAAAUCUAAUACGAGCCCAGGUCUGAACAAUUAAUAUUGAAGAACUUAUCCAUUGUUUUCUGUAGGCCUUGGCUUAACCAUUGACUGCAAGCUAGAAAAUGGAGAGUUUAAAACAAGGAAAGUUGGAGACAUCAACCAAGAAGGGAAAUUGUAAGUUUUUCUUCCUAAGGAGACUGUAAAAAGACAGUUCAAAGAGGAAUACCUUACACAGUUUCUCAGUGCAUCAGCCGCACCAUGCCCUGCCCAGAGUGGCCUGCAGGCCUCCAAGGUAAUUUUGAAGUCCAAAAUUGAAGGCAAACACAUAUUUGGCCUGGCUGGAAACUGAAGUUCUCAUGAAAAACAUGCACUUCUGCAUUCUUAUGGCCUUUCUAUAAGUACCCACCUCUACCUAAGCUGCCACCUUGGCCCAAGUUGCCAUCCUUUCCCCAAAAAUCACCCAUGGUUUAAGCCCUUGCCCAAGGUUCAUCCUCAAACAAACACUGGUCUACAAGAAACCACUUCCACUACCAGUGUACAAGAAGCCACUACCACCAGCAGCAAUAAUAUACAAGAAGCCCCUUCCACCACAUUUCAGUUUAUAAGAAACCACUUUCACUGUCUGUUCCAGUUCAUAAGAAACCACUUUCAUCACCUGUUCCAAUUCAUAAGAAAACACCUUCACCACCUGUUAUGGUUCAUAAGAAAUCACAUCCUCCUGCAAAGCCAGUAUUCAAGAAGCCCUGGCCACCUCCUGUCCCUGUUGUUAAGAAGCCACUUCCAUCUUCUGUUCCCAUAUACAAGAAGCCACUUUCCUUUCCCCUUCCAAUUCACAAACCAAUACCAGCUUUCUAUAAACCUCUUCCUCCACUCCCCCCAGUUUAUAUGAAGCCAUUUUCUUCCUAAACCUCUCUAACCCUAUAUUUGAUUAAAUAUAUUCCAAAUCGUUGAAUGAAGACUGAGUAGCUAGGGAAAAUUGACUUAAGGAAAUUUAUAGUUAAAAUCCUAGAAUUUUCAAAAACCCAAUUUUAGAAUUCAGAGAGUGAGCAAUCCAAAGAUCUGAAGUUUAGGAUCAAAUCUAUCCUUAAGACAAAUUUGCAUUUGAAACCUAGUUUUAUCCUUUCCUGUUCUGAUCACUAAAUCAAAUACAUAAAUCAAUUAGGCUUUUGGUUCAUAUGUCAAACCUGCCAUCUAUCUUGUAGAUUCAGGUUUCAAAUAGAUCAUAGUAGAUUUGAUUGACUAGUGAUCAAGGAAUUACUAAACAUCACUAGCAACCUAAUAGAUAUCUACCGUAUUGUAUUCUAAUCCAAAGGAUACAGAGAAUUUAUUCUGUCCAUUAAAUCAAACGUAAACCCUAAUCCUUUUAUUUAACUUUAUGGCACUCAUUGCUCCUCCUUGUCCUGCUCUUCUAUCUUCAUGCUAUAAUUCCAGAUGGAAAGGUCUUAGCUUCUAAUAGUCAGGUUUUCACUCACAGAAACUAUAAGAAAACAAAGAUCUAUAUGUAUUGCAAAAUGAGAAGUAAAGAGCAAAUUUCAGAAGUAUCAAGGAUAAUAGUAUAAUAUCUUUCUCUGUAUCUCUAAUUUUUUCAACCCUAAAAAAGGUAGUGAGUGCCCCAUGUCGUGUCUACGUGAUUUACCAUCUCUAGAAGUGCAUAUUUGGGAACCAAUCAGACCUGUAUGGAUUGUUCUGGUUGUUUCACUGUGACUUUUGGACCUGGUGGAUGUUCUGAGUUAAUAUGCCUGGACCUAUCCAAAUGAUGGUACAUCUAACUUUCAUUUAUACAAAUAUGAACCCCCAAGUCAAAGUAAUGGAUCAAGACUGCAUAACCAAUUUCUAUAUAUGCAAAGAAUUUCAGAUGGAAAACUAGGGAAAAUGGGAGGGAAGCAACCAAUCAUUUCUUUCUUUUUCCUUCAUUACUGGUUUGAUUUUAUCAGAUAUGACUGCUUUCUACUCCCCCAAGUAUGAAUGCCCAUUUCCUCUCUCCAAAAUCCAUCCACCCUCCUUCUCCCCUUUUGUUUUAGCAUGAAUUAGGCCUCAUAUCUCUAGCAUGGCAAAACCAUACAUGCAGGAAAUUUCAGGUAUAAAACUCUCCAGAGUGCUGAUCCCUGAUCCCAGGUUCUGCUUUUGAUCAGUAACCUAAUUCACUGCAUGAAAACCAUCAUCCUGAAUGACAUAAAUAUUUGAUUAGUCAGAAAAAUUCACCACCUUUUGUUGUACAAGAGAAUAAUGAAGAGGUUUGGUGGAGUAGAACCAAUAAAUGACCACAUUUUAUCUUGGUGAGAUAGUUGGGCAUUUAUUUUCUGCCACCCCUAUCCACGAAAGAUCCUUCUCGAUCAGAAAAUUAGCUAAUAUAACCAAGGCCAAAGUCUUGUUUUAUCUGCAGCAAAAUAAGCAAUCUUCAACAGGGGCAUAAACUACUAUUAGCAUCCUGAUUGGUCUCAAUUGGGUUCAUAUACUAGUAUAAGCCUCUUAGCUACAAGGGUAAGGUAGAUGUGAGCUUGAUCUUUCUGUUCAUUACCCUAUUAAUAUUUUUACAAUGAUUUUGAAAAACCCUCAUUAAUUUGCAUUCAUGACACCUUUGUGGCUAAAAUAAAUAAUCAGAUAGGAAACAGCAAAUGAAAAGAAUUAGAAUGGACUUAUCUUCACUACAAAAGUGGCACUUGAAAGGUGUUAUCCAAAGCAGUCCCACAAAGAUGCCUGGUGGUUUGGAGGCAGGUGAACCAUAAUAACAACAUGCAUGUGUAAACAAAUUAUGCAUUCAUGAAGGUCAGAAUUGGUGUUGUGAUCGAUCUUGUAGGGCUUAAGUUUUGAUUUUUGUGGCAUUUUGGGAAACCCAGUUUUGGCAUUUAUCGGCCAACCCAGGUCUCCAUUUCUGUUUAUGUAAUGAUCUUAUUUAUUUAUUUAUUUGUUUGUUUAUUUCUAUGGACUGGCUUUAUUCCUGUGCUCAAACUUAAGGUGUCCCUGGUUUAGGGUGAAUUGGGUUUAAAAAUGUAGUCUAUUACAUAUAGUUGCAUAUUAGUUUUAGAAGCAAAAAUUUCCUAGAUGUAGUCUUUGCUAUAGCUACUAGCAGUUCUGAAUAUAUUUUUCUUGUGGAGGUCUUCUAAUAAUCUGCAUUAAGUGCUUUUACCUAAGUUUUCAAUAAAUUUCUCCUUCAAAAUGGAAAGAUUAUCUAAAUCAUUGUUGAGAAAAAAAAAACCCAGAUAAUUAUCUGGGUUAAAGUUUGGAUUUCUCUACUCUUUUUCUCACCUUUCUGAGCAACUAAAUAUUUGGAUUUAGAUCAUAACUCAUAUGAGUCUUUGAAUUUGUGCUUAGUGACCUGACCAAGCCUCCUACGAUGAGUGCAAUCAAUUCAACUGAUUUGAUCCUAGCCCAAGCUCAAUCCAAGUUGGAAAAUUUGAAUUAGAGGUUUUUGUUGUAUCAAACUUGGGGUAUGGGACCUAAAUGAUAAGGUUGGAUUGCUAGGAAGAGUUUUACUAGAGCAUGGGCAUUUCAGCAACUCAACCUACUAUUUUCAUUGAAGCAGAGUUUUAUGAGUGCUUGGUGAGUAGGUUUACUGAUACAAGAACACCAAAAUGCAGCUGCCAAGUGGACGGUUCAUUCAAUGAGGUUAAUGCUAUUUGAUGUACAAACUUAGUAGGCUUUGUCACAGUCUUUUCUUUCCCUGCAAACACAAACCUUCUCAAUUCAUCUAGAGCUCCAUGUGAUGCUUUUAAAGAGAUGUCAGUAAGCCUCCAAAACCGGUUAUUUACUAUCAUUAUAUAACAAGUGUAGGACUCAAGUCACUCAAGGUCUGUAUCAAACAACAGAAGCUUGUAAAGCUUGUAGCCUCUCAACUAAGAUUUUGCCAUUGUCUUCUCUUAUUGUGAGCCAUAAGGGGCAGGGUUCCCAAUGCAGGUUCUUCCCAUAUUUCAAUGGGCAGGUCUAGGCUUCUUUAUAUCCCUGCUGUUUGCUGUGAGCUUCUGCCAUGGCAACAACCAGGAAGUCAUGGUCGUUGGGACAGGAGAAUGUGCAGACUGUGAUCACAGUAACAUUAAGACUAGCCAAGCAUUUUCAGGUAGUCAGUCAUCUUUUUACUACCUACUCAAUUGGGCUUCUCUUACUGUCUAGUUUCACGUCAGAUUUUUUCUAUAAUGCCAUGAUCUGAAUAAACAACUAAUGCUGAAGAUCAUAACAGUGAACUUGUGGAUUAUUUUGUGCAGGCCUCGGUGUAACCAUUGAAUGCAAGCUAGAAAGCGGGGAGUUCAAAACAAGGGCAGUUGGAGAGCUUGAUGAAGAAGGGGAGUUCAAACUUCCUCUUCCUAA
rnacentral:lncRNA from 1 species